rnacentral:rRNA from 1 species
CCUACGGGGGGCAGCAGUAGGGAAUCUUCCACAAUGGGCGAAAGCCUGAUGGAGCAACGCCGCGUGGGUGAAGAAGGUCUUCGGAUCGUAAAACCCUGUUGUUAGAGAAGAAAGUGCGUGUGAGUAACUGUUCACGUUUCGACGGUAUCUAACCAGAAAGCCACGGCUAACUACGUGCCAGCACCCGCGGUAAUACGUAGGUGGCAAGCGUUAUCCGGAUUGAUUGGGCGUAAAGGGAACGCAGGCGGUCUUUUAAGUCUGAUGUGAAAGCCUUCGGCUUAACCGGAGUAGUGCAUUGGAAACUGGGAGACUUGAGUGCAGGAGAGGAGAGUGGAACUCCAUGUGUAGCGGUGAAAUGCGUAGAUAUAUGGAAGAACACCAGUGGCGAAGGCGGCUCUCUGGUCUGUAACUGACGCUGAGGUUCGAAAGCGUGGGUAGCAAACAGGAUUAGAUACCCUUGUAGUC